ensembl:lncRNA
AUGAAAGAUCUGGGCCUCCAGCUCAAUGCCAGUAGCGCUAGCCUCCCCAGCGCUGGCCUCCUUCGAACUAUAGCUCCCCUCUUGGAACUAAGCUGGAUGGACCCUGAUGGUCAAGUUUUCUUCCAGAAACAAGUACACAAGAUCCCUGUGAGUUACAGAAAACUCCAGGACAUGGUGAAGGACAAGGAAGCCUGGCAUGCUGCAGUCUAUGGGGUCACAAAGAGUCGGACACGACUGAGGGACUGGACAGCAACACAACUGUGCACAGAAAACUCACAUUCAAGUGGAAAAGACAGAAAUCAGGUUAGAGAGAAAUCCAGAGAGUUUCGGAUUUAUAAGCACUAUGAAGUCACUAAUAUGGGGAAAUGCAACAAAAUGUGCAGGGCAUGCUAAUUUUAGUUCGGUGAGCAGGGAUAUUCUCUCUGGGGAAGGGGUAUUUAAGUAGAGACUGAAAUAGAUAGAAGGAGCUGGCACUGACCUGAGGAAAGAGUUUUCCAGGCAGAGUGACCCUCACGGGCAAAGGCCCUGAGGUCGGAACAAACCUGCCAUGUUUAAGAGACAGAGACGCUAUGUGGCCAGGGUGGGACAGGCUGGAGGUCGGGAAACAAUGGGCAGGUGUGAGGCCAAAUCAUGCAGAACCUCAGUGAACUUGAAUUACCUAAGAGACGUAAUCUCACCGUAAGCAAUUUAACAAAGAGAUAACAUAAAAGAUUUAAAGAGAUCAUGGUCAUUCAUUAUCUCAACUUGUAGAGAAAACUGACCAGUGACAUUUUGGUGCAUGUCCUUUCAAACAUUCUAUUUCAUAUCCUAUCAUAUAAACAUAUAGGGGACUUCCCUGGUCGUCCAGUGGUUAGGACGCUGCGCUUCCACUGCAGGGAGCAUGCGUUCAACCCCGUGUCAGGGAACUAAGGUUUCACAUGCCGCAUGGCACAACUGAAAAAAAAAAAAGAAAGAAAAUAUAUAUAUAUACUUACAAGAGUAGGAUCAUAUAAUACAUCCAUGAAACUAGCCUUUUAUUUUAUUUUAUUGUGUGUU